rnacentral:lncRNA from 1 species
AAGAAAAGAAAAAAAAAAGACAAUUGGUAAAGAUUAUGUAAUAAUGCCUUAUUGCAAAUACAACUUUCUGACCUGCCUAUUCAUUUUUUUCAAAUACACAAUGGAAAUACUUCCAUAGGGGUAAAAACAACUUAUUAAAGGGUGUUUCCACUCUCUGCAAAUGUUGACUAGGUUACACUAAAUUUAAUAUAAAUAGAACUUACAUUUUCCUACUUAAAUGAUAGAAUUUUUAAACUAAUAUACCAUCAUAAUGUUGUUUUCCAGGCUGCCAGAAAUUGUCUAGUAAGUGAGGCGGGAGUUGUAAAAGUAUCUGAUUUUGGAAUGGCCAGGUAUGUUCUGGAUGAUCAGUACACAAGUUCUUCUGGUGCUAAGUUUCCUGUGAAGUGGUGUCCACCUGAAGUGUUUAAUUACAGCCGCUUCAGCAGCAAAUCAGAUG